AUUGAACGCUGGCGGCAGGCCUAACACAUGCAAGUCGAACGGAGUGGCGGACGGGUGAGUAAUGUCUGGGAAACUGCCUGAUGGUGGGGGAUAACUACUGGAAACGGUAGCUAAUACCGCAUACUAUUGGAGCGGCCGAUAUCGGAUUAGCUAGUUGGUGGGGUAACGGCUCACCAAGGCGACGAUCCGUAGCUGGUUUGAGAGGACGACCAGCCACACUGGGACUGAGACACGGCCCAGACUCCGACGGGAGGCAGCAGUGGGGAAUUUUGGACAAUGGGGGAAACCCUGAUCCAGCCAUCCCGCGUGUGUGAAGAAGGCCUUCGGGUUGUAAAGCACUUUUGGCAGGAAAGCGGUACCUGCAGAAUAAGCACCGGCUAACUACGUGCCAGCAGCCGCGGUAAUUC
rnacentral:rRNA from 1 species